UCCUUCUCCAGGGAAUCUUCUCGACCCAGGGAUCGAACCCAGGUCUCUCGCAUUGUAGACAGACGCUUUACCAUCUGAGCCACCAGGGAAGUCCCUGGUGAGUGUUUAAUUGAGUGUUUAACACUUUCAGCCCUUCAGGGCAUAGUUAAGGGAUUACAGCUGGAUGCUUUAAGGCUCUGAUCUUUUGGUGCAAAAUGAGGCAAGGAUGCAAAUGAAGACCUGGCAGUUUUUCUUGGACUCGUCAUAUUUCAGCUUCCUAAUAUGCACAUGCUCAGAAGUCUCAGGAAAGUCUCACAGGACUUCCUAAUCACAUAGUCCAAUUCUCACUGUUUUAUUAUGAUGCCUUCCAGAAUCAGCAAAAAUAAAACUUUACACUUUUAAAAAAUGAUUGGAACAUAUUUUUAAACUCUAACAAGGUGUUUAAUUUAGAAUGAAAGAACAAAAACACACACUGCCAAAACCAAGAUGAACCUGAGGUUAUGAAAUCUGUGUACUUUUACAACAAUAGGCAUGUAAAUGAGUAUAUGUGUGUGGUAUGGGUGGAGAGCUGGGGAAGAGAACCUUAGUUUUUCAGUUCUGUUUUCUGACAAUAUGUUAUUACCAGUAUUUGGUGGAGUAACUGGCACAUGAUGUCAUUCAAAACCAUUUGCAAAAUAAGUUAAUCAUUUCAGAGAAUCUCACACUGUUUUAGGGCCAGUUUACAUGUCUUUUUUACAGGUUGUUCUGCCUGUAGAACCAUCUCAUUUCCGUAAAUUGCCAGAAUUUACAGGCUAGAAGAAGGAAGAUGAGUUGGUGUAAAGAUCAAAAGAAGCCAGAAAGUUGGGCUAAGAAAUUAAGGGGAGUCAAGAGGUGAAGGACUAACCGGUGUCUGUUGAGUCUGGAAAUUUCUAGGCCUCUGUGCUCAGCAGAGGAAGUACAAGAGCAUGAUGAUUAAGAGACAGAACUCUAGAGUUAGACUUCUUGAGUUCAAAUCCCAGAUCUACUCUUGACAGUACGUUAAGCAGUUGGCUGACUUUCUCUCCACCUCAGGUUUUCAUCUGUGAAGUGAGGAUACUUCACAGGUCUCUGUAAGCUGACUCCCUGCCCGUGGGGAAUGCUUGCUUCCAAGUGCUGGUCUCUGAGUAAUGAAGGGUUUUUGGUGAAAAGUAACGCAGUCCAGUCAUGAUUUAGAUAGUCCAGUACUACUAAGUGACUUCUUUCAAUAUUUUUGCCUUCUUUCUCAUGUUAAAUAGGAAUAACACAAUCUGUUUCUUGAACCUUAUAGGAUAUAUUUUGGAAGAUUUUCACAAGAUGAUAAAGAACAACAAAACAUGUGAAGGUGUUAUUUUUAAGGUCAAACACUUUUAUCAUACUUUGCAUGUGUAUUCCCAUGUAUUCCAGGGCACCACAGCAUCUGAUGUCUGAAAAUUGUGGCAAGAGUUUACCUUCUUGAGUAUCUCCACAAGGAGAGGAAGUAAAUCACUCCAAUUUUUUAAAAAGAAGAGCUUCAUACUAAAGAUAAAAAGUCUUCAGGCUUCCAGUCAGCUGUUUCUCUCUUUGGUCAGCCUCGUCCUUCUAUCUCCACUCUCCGUGAGUGGUCAGUGUCCCCAACAUGGAUGGCUCGGUUCUUAUCUUGUAUUCCUUCCUGAGACUUACUGAAUUCUCAAAUGUGAAGGCACUUUUCUGAACUUACUUUCGGUGUUUGUCGGUGGUGGAGUGAAGGAUCCUCAUCUGUGCUGCCUUCAGCAGCUGUGUAAAUACAGCUGGAAACUUGCAAGUGGACAGUGUUGAUUAUCCACUCUUCUUGUAUUUCCUAUUUCAGGAGGAACCAUCAUCAUCUAAGCAGUCAUAGAGCUAGAAACCUGGAAUCAUCUUGGAUUCUUUUCUCCAGCUAAUCCCCAUUACUCUGUUAAACUCCUCAUGAAUUGUGCGAUUCUGCCUUGGAGAAGGCAAUGGCACCCCACUCCAGUACUCUCGCCUGGAAAAUCCCAUGGAUGCAGGAGCCUGGUGGGCUACAGUCCAUGGGG